AUUGAACGCUGGCGGCAUGCUUUACACAUGCAAGUCGGACGGCAGCGGGGUAGUGCUUGCACUACUGCCGGCGAGUGGCGAACGGGUGAGUAAUAUAUUGGAACGUACCGAGUAAUGGGGGAUAACCAAUCGAAAGAUUGGCUAAUACCGCAUACGCUCUGAGGAGGAAAGCAGGGGACCUUCGGGCCUUGCGUUAUUCGAGCGGCCAAUAUCUGAUUAGCUAGUUGGUGGGGUAAAGGCCUACCAAGGCGACGAUCAGUAGCGGGUCUGAGAGGAUGAUCGGCCACACUGGGACUGAGACACGGCCCAGACUCCUACGGGAGGCAGCAGUAGGGAAUCUUCGGCAAUGGGGGCAACCCUGACCGAGCAACGCCGCGUGAGUGAAGAAGGUUUUCGGAUCGUAAAGCUCUGUUGUAAGAGAAGAACGAGUGUGAGAGUGGAAAGUUCACGCUGUGACGGUAUCUUACCAGAAAGGGACGGCUAACUACGUGCCAGCAGCCGCGGUAAUACGUAGGUCCCGAGCGUUAUCCGGAUUUAUUGGGCGUAAAGCGAGCGCAGGCGGUUAGAUAAGUCUGAAGUUAAAGGCUGUGGCUUAACCAUAGUACGCUUUGGAAACUGUUUAACUUGAGUGCAGAAGGGGAGAGUGGAAUUCCAUGUGUAGCGGUGAAAUGCGUAGAUAUAUGGAGGAACACCGGUGGCGAAAGCGGCUCUCUGGUCUGUAACUGACGCUGAGGCUCGAAAGCGUGGGGAGCAAACAGG
rnacentral:rRNA from 1 species